rnacentral:tRNA from 1 species
GCGUUGGUAGUUCAGUGGUUAGAAUAUUGGCCUUCCAAGCCGAUGACCGGAGUUCAAAUCUCCGCCGACGCA